CCCUUAGUAACGGCGAGCGAAAAGGGAAGAGUCCAGCGCCAAGUCUUGACACCGAAGCGUUCAAGAGAUGCGGCGUUAAUGUAUUAUCGCAUCGUACAUUGUUGCCUGUUUCAAGUUCCCUUGACAGGGACAUCCAUAGCGGGUGCUAGGCCCAUAGAGGCAGGCAACCAGUGUGCGCAGAUAAUGCAUUCUAGAGUCAGGUUGCUUGAGAGUGCAGCUUAAAGUGGGUGGUAAACUCCAUCUAAGGCUAAAUAUGACAGCGAGACCGAUAGCAAACAAGUACCGUGAGGGAAAGUUGCAAAGCACUUUGAAGAGAGAGUUCAACAGUACGUGAAACCACUGGGAGGCAAACAGAUGGAACCACGAAGUUGCGCCUUGCUCGAUUCAAUCAUUGAUACUAGUUACCGGUUCUUGUGUGGAUCUUUUCGGAGAUUAGCAAGUGUCGUGGAACUGGUUUCAAUGGUGCAUUUCGUGUGAGGAUGCUAAGCCACGUUCGAUUAGAGUUGGGACGGCCGUAGGACAGAAUUUUGGAAGGUGGCCGGAAAUGCUUGCAUUUUUCGGUUUUUAUAGAUUUAAUUGGUACCGUCGCCUAACAUACUGAUCGAUAGAAAUUCUCCUUAGGGAGUUGAACUGUGUCUGCCUAUGACCAUUAGUCAACCUUUCGAAGUGUUCUUUACGUAUCUUUGGUGCGGAAAGACAUUUCAACAAUGUUGGUUAGUGGUUGUUUGCGUGACAUGGUGGAACUGUGGCGCGAGUAGGUCGGUUUCCCUCUGACCC
rnacentral:rRNA from 1 species